GACGAACGCUGGCGGCGUGCUUAACACAUGCAAGUCGAACGGUAAGGCUCCAGCUUGCUGGGGUACACGAGUGGCGAACGGGUGAGUAACAAGUGGGUGACCUGCCCUGCACUUCGGGAUAAGCCUGGGAAACUGGGUCUAAUACCGGAUAGGACCGCACCGUGAGGGUGUGGUGGAAAGUUUUUUCGGUGUGGGAUGGGCCCGCGGCCUAUCAGCUUGUUGGUGGGGUAAUGGCCUACCAAGGCGGCGACGGGUAGCCGGCCUGAGAGGGUGGACGGCCACAUUGGGACUGAGACACGGCCCAGACUCCUACGGGAGGCAGCAGUGGGGAAUAUUGCACAAUGGGCGGAAGCCUGAUGCAGCGACGCCGCGUGGGGGAUGACGGCCUUCGGGUUGUAAACUCCUUUCACCAUCGACGAAGGGUUUCUGACGGUAGAUGGAGAAGAAGCACCGGCUAACUACGU
rnacentral:rRNA from 1 species